rnacentral:rRNA from 1 species
ACCAGACUCCUACGGGAGGCAGCAGUGGGGAAUAUUGCACAAUGGGGGAAACCCUGAUGCAGCAACGCCGCGUGAGUGAAGAAGUAUUUCGGUAUGUAAAGCUCUAUCAGCAGGGAAGAAGAAAGACGGUACCUGACUAAGAAGCCCCGGCUAACUACGUGCCAGCAGCCGCGGUAAUACGUAGGGGGCAAGCGUUAUCCGGAUUUACUGGGUGUAAAGGGGGCGCAGACGGCGAUGCAAGCCAGGAGUGAAAGCCCGGGGCCCAACCCCGGGACUGCUCUUGGAACUGCGUGGCUGGAGUGCAGGAGGGGCAGGCGGAAUUCCUGGUGUAGCGGUGAAAUGCGUAGAUAUCAGGAGGAACACCGGUGGCGAAGGCGGCCCGCUGGACUGCAACUGACGUUGAGGCCCGAAAGCGUGGGGGGCAAACAGGAUUAGAUACCCCCGUA